AUGAACGCUGGCGGCGUGCCUAAUACAUGCAAGUCGAGCGAACAGACGAGGAGCUUGCUCCUCUGACGUUAGCGGCGGACGGGGGAGUAACACGUGGAUAACCUACCUAUAAGACUGGGAUAACUUCGGGAAACCGGAGCUAAUACCGGAUAAUAUAUUGAACCGCAUGGUUCAAUAGUGAAAGACGGUUUUGCUGUCACUUAUAGAUGGAUCCGCGCCGCAUUAGCUAGUUGGUAAGGUAACGGCUUACCAAGGCGACGAUGCGUAGCCGACCUGAGAGGGUGAUCGGCCACACUGGAACUGAGACACGGUCCAGACUCCUACGGGAGGCAGCAGUAGGGAAUCUUCCGCAAUGGGCGAAAGCCUGACGGAGCAACGCCGCGUGAGUGAUGAAGGUCUUCGGAUCGUAAAACUCUGUUAUUAGGGAAGAACAAAUGUGUAAGUAACUAUGCACGUCUUGACGGUACCUAAUCAGAAAGCCACGGCUAACUACGUG
rnacentral:rRNA from 1 species